rnacentral:rRNA from 1 species
GGAGGACGCUAGAGAUCGCAAGACCUUGCGCUCAUUGAGCGGCCGACUUCUGAUUAGCUAGUUGGUGAGGUAAAGGCUUACCAAGGCGACGAUCAGUAGCUGGUCUGAGAGGACGACCCCCCACACUGGGACUGAGACACGGCCCAGACUCCUACGGGAGGCAGCAGUGGGGAAUUUUGGACAAUGGGGGAAACCCUGAUCCAGCCAUGCCGCGUGAGUGAAGAAGGCCUUCGGGUUGUAAAGCUCUUUCAGCCGGAACGAAACGGUCACGGCUAAUACCUGUGACUACUGACGGUACCGGAAGAAGAAGCACCGGCUAACUACGUGCCAGCAGCCGCGGUAAUACGUAGGGUGCGAGCGUUAAUCGGAAUUACUGGGCGUAAAGCGUGCGCAGGCGGUUUUGUAAGUCAGAUGUGAAAUCCCCGGGCUUAACCUGGGAACUGCGUUUGAAACUACAAAGCUAGAAGGG